rnacentral:rRNA from 1 species
UACGAAGGGAGCUAGCGUUGUUCGGAUUCAUUGGGCGUAAAGCGUGCGCAGGCGGUGAUGUAAGACAGUUGUGAAAUCCCCGGGCUCAACCUGGGAACUGCAUCUGUGACUGCAUUGCUGGAGUGCGGCAGAGGGGGAUGGAAUUCCGCGUGUAGCAGUGAAAUGCGUAGAUAUGCGGAGGAACACCGAUGGCGAAGGCAAUCCCCUGGGCCUGCACUGACGCUCAUGCACGAAAGCGUGGGGAGCAAACAGG